rnacentral:rRNA from 1 species
GAAACGACUGCUAAGACUGGAUAGGGGACAAGAAGGCAUCUUCUUGUUUUUAAAAGACCUAGCAAUAGGUAUGCUUAGGGAGGAGCUUGCGUCACAUUAGUUAGUUGGUGGGGUAAAGGCCUACCAAGACUAUUAUGUGUAGCCGGGCUGAGAGGUUGAACGGACACAUUGGGACUGAGACACGGCCCAAACUCCUACGGGAGGCAGCAGUAGGGAAUUUUCGGCAAUGGAGGAAACUCUGACCGAGCAACGCCGCGUGAACGAUGAAGUAUUUCGGUACGUAAAGUUCUUUUAUUAGGGAAGAAUAAAUGAUGGAAAAAUCAUUCUGACGGUACCUAAUGAAUAAGCCCCGGCUAACUAUGUGCCAGCAGCCGCGGUAAUACAUAGGGGGCAAGCGUUAUCCGGAAUUAUUGGGCGUAAAGGGUGCGUAGGCGGUUAAAUAAGUUUAUGGUCUAAGUGCAAUGCUCAACAUUGUGAUGCUAUAAAAACUGUUUAGCUAGAGUAAGAUAGAGGCAAGUGGAAUUCCAUGUGUAGUGGUAAAAUGCGUAAAUAUAUGGAGGAACACCAGUAGCGAAGGCGGCUUGCUGGGUCUUUACUGACGCUGAGGCACGAAAGCGUGGGGAGCAAACAGGAUUAGAUACCCUGGUAGUCCACGCCGUAAACGAUGAGUACUAAACGUUGGGUAAAACCAGUGUUGAAGUUAACACAUUAAGUACUCCACCUGAGUAGUACGUACGCAAGUAUGAAACUUAAAGGAAUUGACGGGACUCCGCACAAGCGGUGGAUCAUGUUGUUUAAUUCGAAGGUACCCGAAAAACCUCACCAGGUCUUGACAUGCUUCUGCAAAGCUGUAGAAACACAGUGGGGGUUAUCAGUUGCACAGGUGGUGCAUGGUUGUCGUCAGCUCGUGUCGUGAGAUGUUGGGUUAAGUCCCGCAUCGAGCGCAACCCUUAUUGUUAGUUACCAGCACGUAAUGGUGGGGACUUUAGCAAGACUGCCAGUGAUAAAUUGGAGGAAGGUGGGGAUGACGUCAAAUCAUCAUGCCCCUUAUGACCUGGGCUACAAACGUGAUACAAUGGCUGUUACAAAGGGUAGCUGAAGCGCAAGUUUUUGGCGAAUCUCAAAAAAACAGUCUCAGUUCGGAUUGAAGUCUGCAACUCGACUUCAUGAAGUUGGAAUCGCUAGUAAUCGCGAAUCAGCAUGUCGCGGUGAAUACGUUCUCCGGGGUUUGUACACACCGCCCGUCA